GACGAACGCUGGCGGCGUGCCUAAUACAUGCAAGUCGAACGCUUCUUUCCUCCCGAGUGCUUGCACUCAAUUGGAAAGAGGAGUGGCGGACGGGUGAGUAACACGUGGGUAACCUACCCAUCAGAGGGGGAUAACACUUGGAAACAGGUGCUAAUACCGCAUAACAGUUUAUGCCGCAUGGCAUAAGAGUGAAAGGCGCUUUCGGGUGUCGUUGAUGGAUGGACCCGCGGUGCAUUAGCUAGUUGGUGAGGUAACGGCUCACCAAGGCCACGAUGCAUAGCCGACCUGAGAGGGUGAUCGGCCACACUGGGACUGAGACACGGCCCAGACUCCUACGGGAGGCAGCAGUAGGGAAUCUUCGGCAAUGGACGAAAGUCUGACCGAGCAACGCCGCGUGAGUGAAGAAGGUUUUCGGAUCGUAAAACUCUGUUGUUAGAGAAGAACGAGGACGUUAGUAACUGAACGUCCCCUGACGGUAUCUAACCAGAAAGCCACGGCUAACUACGUG
rnacentral:rRNA from 1 species